AUGAACUAUCACAGAGAUUUGCUCUUCUCUCUGAUUGAAUGUAAUUUAAAGAGCUGCUGCUUCUGCUUGCUUCACUUGCUUCUGAAACAUUCUUUAGAUGGUGUCUCACGAUGUUGGCCAAGCUGGACUCAAACUACUGACCUCAGGCAAUCCUCAUGCCUCAGCCUCCCAAAUUGCUGGGAUUACAAGUGUGAGCAACCACACGCAGCCGGUAUUUUAAAAGGAGGUUAAUUCACAUGGUAUUACUAUCAUUUACUUAUCAUACACAUUUUUUCAUAUGAUUGUUGAUUGAUUUCCAUGAUUCUUAACCUGUGCUUUCAAUCCAACCAGCAAAAUAGCAAAGAACAAAACUGAACCAACUCAAGUUACAUGUACUAGAAUUCCUGGUUAAAUGUAUUCAUUCUUUUAAAACAACUCUUUAAUAACUGAAAGAAAUAAAGUGGACAAUAAAUAAGUUAAAAUGUUUUCUCAGGCAUGUGAAUUACAUCCCGCUCAAUGGAAGUUGGAAGCGUAACAUGGGGUUGUUGGUGGGGGAGACAAAUAAGUUAAAAGGUUAUAAAGAAAAAUAAACUCUGGACAGUCAGGAUCCUUGAGUUAAAAAAAUAUGACCAGCCUGUAAUCCCAGCUACUCAGGAAGCUGAGGCAGGAGAAUUGCCUGAACCCAGGAGGCUGAGGUCACAGUGAACCAAGAUCGUGCCAUUACACUCCAGCCUGGGUAACAAGAGCGAAACUCUGUCUCAAAAAAAAAAAAUAUGACCAGUUGUACUUCUUGUCAUCUCCCCAGGAAUACAUAUAUUUACCCAGCGUGAGUGUGCAGUUUUCUUAUAUAACAUCCUCAAAUGUGGAGAAGUGACCAAGUUUUAUUUUGGCAAGUAUACUACUAAUCUAGGUUAAGUAGGAUGUUUUUUUCUUACUUAAUGCAAGAUUGAUCUAUGAACAAAUUCCAGUAUUUUGUGAAGAUAUAUUGAAGAGCAUAUCUGUUUAGAAAAUCUUUCCAUUGUAAGUCAUGAAGGCCUUCAAAGUGCAGUUAUGAAGAGACUUCUUUGCUAAGUGUUUAUUAUUCAUAUAUGAUGUUUCCUACCAUGUAUGAGAACACGUAUGAGUAAAGACUAUAUUCACUGGUUAAUAAAAUGAGAAAAUACACUUUUUAUAAAUUUGGGUUAAACCUAUUUAAAUAUGUUUGCUUUAAAUAUGAUUACUAUAUAAAUAUGAUUACUGAAUGAUUGUGACCUCCAUGCAGGAAUCUUCUAUUUUGUUUAUAAAUGAUGCUUUGUCCUUUCUACUUAAAGGGUAAGUUUGUUGUGUUUUUUUUAACAUCCUGGGGAGCCAUAGAAGAGAUAAUGACAGACUAAAGUAUCUAUGAAAUACAGAAUUUUCUUAUUUUCCAUUCUUAGAAAGUGUCUAGUUUCUAUUCUUUUGACUUUAAUAAAAGUAGUUAAAUUGUGUAUACCACUUACUUAAAUUUGCAUGAUUUUGAUCUAAAGAUAACUGCUCUUGUUUUAGUUUAUAUCCUAUCAAACUUGUCUUUUAAAAAACAUUGGUAGACAUGAUAUUUUACUUUUAGAUUCACCUAUUAUCUUAAAAAUGUAACAAAAAAUCCCUUUCUUAGAAUUUGUUCUUAAACCAAUAGCACCACAACCUAUCAACUCUUAUGUUUUUAGUUUAAUUACAUUUCUAAUUUGAUAAUUUAUUUAAUAAUUGAAAAGUAAUACAUGUCAGACUAUACUAUCAUGAUAAGUAGACAUCAGAGCACCUUUCAUUUACUUUCAGUUUUAGUUCCCCAUCAAUCUUAUUUUCUCCUGACUUUUUCUUAUGUAUUUGAUUGUGUCGUUUACUUGAAUAUAUAAAGCCAAAUGCUCAGAAAAAUUUGUCUGUACCUUCAUCCUUUAGACAAUGUGGCUGACAGAAACUACUUUCUUACUCAUAUGCUUAGACACCUAAAAUCUUCCACCUUUCUGUGAACCAUUUUAGGUAAACUUCAUGGGCUGGAUUAUUUUGCCUGAUUAAUUUAUUGCCAAUUGCUGCUACAGAGAGUAAACAGGAGUAGAAGAUAGAACAAGUAAAUUAUGAUCAGAGAUCGAGUUUGCUUUCUUUAUAGUUUAGAAAGUUAAAGGAAAGGACUAUCUGAACAGAAAUGUAAGGCUACUAGCUAUCUAUGGAUAAAGUAAGAACCUAAGAUUUCUAGGAUGCAAAGAAAACAACAACAAAAAAACUCAGCCUAAUUUUCUACAGAUUGAAUGAAGCUAGUAGAUAACAGCUUCAAAAUAAAGUCUAUAUUGGCUCUUGUGUAGACUGUAGAGGGAAAAGCCCUGGAUCUGACUUACAAUGAUUUCAUGUAAAGUUGUAGAUCUAGCUCUGAUACUACUUCUAUCUUGGAUAAUACUUUACCCUUUUCUGUGCCUUAUUUCCCCUUUCUGUAGACUUCUUCAGAGUAAGUUGGUUGCAUCACCCCAAAAGGUAAUAGAAAAGAAUAGAGAGAAUGCACUGAAAUAGUGAAACACUGCUGUUACCCCAAAACUCACUACCAUUACCCCCAAAAGAAUUCUAAAUGCAGUAUUAUGGUGUUGUGGACCUUUGCAUUUUUUUUUUCUUCGAAGACAUGGAGAACAUCUAGUUUAACCCCACCUCCCAUUUUACAGAAGAGGAGAGUGAACAACAGAGAGAUUUGGAUCCACCAAAUUUAUUGAGUACCUAUUUGUGUUAGGAAAUGAUCUGGGUACUUGGUUAUAUUAUGGUUUAUUUAAUCAUCAAAAGAUUCCUGUGUGCAAGGGGGGGUUAUUGUUAUUUUGAUUUUUAGAGAACAGGAAAUAGGCUGACAAUUUAAGUAGAUGGCAUGGAUUCUUACACCUAAGAAACAGCUGGGAUUUGAUCACAACUAUGUGUCUCAUUUCAAAUCUAGUGCUCAUCCCACUAUAUCACACGUUGUUGUCUUAAUCCUAGUCCAUAAUGCUAUUUGAAGUGUAUCAUGUGCUAAUUUUAUUACUGAGAUAGACGAUGAAAACUAUUGACUGAAGGUAGUUCCUCCAGAGAUAAACAGAUAUUUAGCAGAAUGUUUCCAGGUGAGGACUGGUUCUUUUUUCCUCAUUGUGAACUGUCAGAAAAAUAAGACUUUCCUUCUGAAAAUCACAGUAGUUUUUCCACAAGUUAACAAAUAGAAUCAAUUUGUUAGAAAGUUAACCAAGUUGUAUUCAUACUCAAGCUUCUCAUUUUCCACACUGGAAAAUUCUUCCAAGCAGGAAGAUUUAUUGGUAAAAUAAUUCAACUGAAAUUUCCAAAAUGAAAUCUGUCUGUUGCUAUUGCCUAUAUUCUUUUAAAUAUACUGCUUC
rnacentral:lncRNA from 1 species